CCGCGCUGGGUAUCUUAGACAGGAGCAACGAAGGGAUUCCUGCUUGUUGGGCCACGGGGUGAAACGCAUUCGAGAGAGCCGCGUUGAUGCCCUAUAAGGCAACUGCUGCUGCUACAGGAAAGGAGUCCAGAUGGAUGGUCUGGCAGCGGCAGGAGCAGUCUAAACGGUCGCCAGUUUUAGUCAACAGUCUCCUCAGGGUAGCGGGGUGCCUCGCGCUGGACGAGCCACUCUACAUGAGAACCGCAUGCGAGGUCGACCAUGUGGCUGCCGAUUCUCGACAGAUAUCCGCCUAUCCGAUGUGUAGUCGCCAUCCAAUAUCUGAUAACGAACGGUGAGGUGGCCGUGGAGCAAGUUAGUCUACACGUUUUUGCGGUAGAGUGCUAGGCCGUUGAAGUCUAAAACAGUAGCGAAAUUUGGAUAAUGAGAAUUAUAACAGUAACUUAAGGAAUAACAACACCGGAAACACUAAUAGCGAGAGUAACGGCUAAGUUAGAGCGGAUGUCGCGAAUUGUCUUUUUCAAUCCUGCGCAUUUUGUCUGCUGGAGAAGUACGUGAUGCAAAAAAAUUGAAGAUGAAUUCACAUACCGUUCGUAUGGUAGCCAACCAGUGCGUCAAAGUGCGGUAGGAAGUUUCCUAGCGAGAACAGGACAUAGGUAGAUCUCUGCUUCGAAGGACGGAUCAGCGGGACCCGUUACUAAUGGGCCACUAAUGAUAAUACCCACUGCCAUGCAAGCCGAGUUCAACGUAUAAAUAAAACGGCUCGCCCAGCCUAAACGGUGCUACUAACUACUGCUACGGACCGAGUUUAUUUAACGUGUGAUUUAACUUUAUCGAUCGACGUACGGAGCUCAUUUGAGUCUAGUCUGCUGAUUGGCCUCUCGUGAAUGAGACCCGGCCGUGAUUGCUACUUCACGGAAAGCUCGACCCACACGUCCGUUCAGCAUACGAAAUACCUCAUAACGGCACCUAGAUUUUUAGCGACGUGAGACUGAACUUGUAACUCAUCGAAGAGUCUCAACUGAUACAGUUUCCUCAGGAUCUGCUAGCCGACUGCAGUCCUAUAUCAUCAUCUUUCACUAAUAUUCCGCUGCAUUUAGUACUAGUCUUACUUUGUCAUCUAUCCUGGCCCCGUCCAACUCAAAGCGGAUUAUCGUUUUGGCUCAAAAUUAUCGUUGUGAAGGAGACAGACGCGCGCAAUGUGGAAGUUAUGCUACAACGUCCUCAGGCUUUUAGAAGCGUGAUAACGAAAAAAACAAGGAAGAAAAACACCCGUGAAAUUAGUGAAUGGAAACAAUCUAUUUGUGUGUGUGGUUAGCGAACUUACCAAGCGCAACGAACGGCGCAGACAACGACCGGGCAUUCGUUCAGAACGGAUGGUCUUCAGAGCAUUGAUUAGUGUGUGUGCGCACAUAUAGACCUUCGUGAGCACUGCGAUUCGACCAAGCUAUAUGGUUGCUAUCCGUUAAUGGUGCAGAGCGGUUCGGGUCGAGGCCAGACUACGCUGACAAUUUCUGAGUGAAAUCUUCUCCGUUCGUAAACUUUGGAACCGUUGAGGUAGAAUCAAUGGAUAUCGCCCGGAUUCUGCUCAUGGGUCGCAGGGCGAGUAAGCUCAAGAAGGACGAUAUUAAGGAGCUCGAAGCUCAGACAUACUUCGACGGCAAACAACUCCGAAAAUGGUAUACGGAGUUCGUAAAAGACUGUCCAAAUGGUGAGAUGACGAAAGACGAAUUCGCCAAACUCUACGGCCAAUUUUUCCCCCCGGGCGAUCAAACGAAAUUCGUCGAUUAUAUCUUUAACGUGUUCGACGAGGAUAAAACGUUACCUACGAGCGGGCCUGCAGGCAGCCUACCUCGUCCAAUACAUCUACUACGGCCUACAGUCGGUGAAGCGCAAAUCGAAAGAGCGAACAAUGGAUUGAAUACGACACAACAAGCACACGAUUGUGCCUCAAUCGAUCUGAAUGGCGUGAUCACGUUCAAGGAAUUCAUUCGCGCCAUUUCGAUCACCACGAAGGGCUCUAUCGAUGAGAAGCUCAACUGGGCCUUCGACCUCUACGACAUCGACAACGACGGCUUCGUUACGCGCGCUGAAAUGGUCGACAUUGUUACCGCCAUCUAUGUCCUUCAUGGCAAAGCAGCGGAAGGUGAUCCGGUAUCGCGGAAGGUCGAUCAGCUGUUCGCAAAACUCGACUUCGACUCCGACGCGCGGAUCUCGAGAGAAGAGUUUUGUGAAGGCUUCAAGACAGAUCCCUGGAUUCGCAAAGCGUUACUCAGUCAAUACGAGUAGUCGGAGCAAACAGAGAAGCGACUCGACUGAACAGGCGUGGUCGUUUACUAUUGCCGUCGCCGUCUCCGCCGCUAUUGCCACAGAACCCCUCUGCAGACUCAACAGUGUGACAAGAAGCUCGCCACACAAAUUGAGGAGGAACUUUCAAUAGGCGCAUAACAAUCAAUACGCUCCCAUAACAACCGACGUUGCCUUUCUGCUGGGUAGCAAAAAGGCGUUGAUAUUUCGAAUACUACGGGGGUAGUCACGUACGGUAAAUCCGUCCUCCUCUGCCGCCUCAGUAGCAUCCAUGUAACGCCAGUUAAGUAUUCAAACUAACGUGCGUUGGUUUCGCAAACGGUACUGUGUCAAGAGGCAAUGUCAUAAUAUUACUGCAUAAAAACUGUAACACUUUUUUUUAGUGUUACCUGUCACCUCAAUAACGUCGUCGUCGUCGUCGUCUCGACGAUGGACGAUGACCUGCGAUCUGCCGCGGCUAGCGUGCGCAACUACGGAGAAAGAAAAACGAAUUCCGUGCGCAUUAAAUCCGCCGUCGAGAUGAACUAGAGGAUAGUAGGCGGAUCACUGAACCGGCCUCUUACACAAGACGCAGCGAUGAAACGGAUUAGCCGAUGGUGGCAGCACAGUAAGAAAAGGAUAGCACAGACUGUGUGAGAAUGAAGAACUUUUUUGAGACUUCUUCCUGAAAACUUCGUGAAUCUACAAAAUUCAUCGCACAGCUAAAUGAGCUUCGGGUGCGUUAGACAAGAUGAAUUUCGUCAAAAACAAUUUGAUACGACAAUAAUAAAACAUGCUUUUACCGAACUGACGUUUCCCGCAGUACAAAAAAUUGUCGAUUUUUGGCCGGCGCUUUGGCGACGUCCAGAACUUGAGUCGGCAAGGCUUGCGUCUAAUAAAAGUAUCGCUUUAGUAAAAGUAAAAAGGCAGAUCGGCUUUCAAUUGACGCCGAAUAGCUUAAAGCAAAAAGGAAACCUCAUCGUCAACAGGCGGAUGUUACGAACGAAGGAAUAUACACUAACAGAUGAGUACACGCUAAAUUUCAUUGCAUGAUCCUAAUAGAUGCUAUAAGUCGUCUUUUACAAUCCACUCUUACCUAGAUCUUUUUUUGUUUCAUUGUUUAACGCUUAAUUGUUUUUAUUCGACAUUUCCCUUCUCUAAGAUUUGUAACGGUAGAAAUUCUGUUUUCUUGUAUGAUUAUCAAUGUAUCCCUAUCGACGCCAGCGAAUGGUGGCAUAUACAAAAUGCAAUAGCGAAGUACUGGACAGCAUUGAUCACUCACGACUAGAACGAGAUGUGAACAUAGCAAUAUAUACAAUAGCGAGAUUUUCACUUUAGAAAUGUUUAGUACGCUACCUACACACAGAAAUAGAUAACUUCCGCCACCAUAACGAUUAUUUUGGCCCCUGUUUAUAUUCUAGAUACGGCUAAUUAGCUAUUAAGUAUGACCGAUUUUCUGUCACUUGCUAGUAAUCAUAACAUCUAAUGAAUAAAUCUUUCAUUCUUCCCCUAGAGAAAAAGCGAUUACGGCAUUUUCGACGAACUCUUCCAGUUCGCCACCUUGCAGUAUUUCGGGAAUGCCCGAUACAGGCAUAAGUGGCUAGGCAUAUUCUACCGUAUUCCCCAUGGUCUCCUGCUAAUGCAAACGUCACCAACCAAGAUUGGCCUUAUGGCAGCUGAACGCACGACGAACGGUUACUGCGAAGGUCGAGAUAGUCGCCCCCAAUUAGAUCAAGAGUACACAGAAAUAGAUCAUCAUCAACAUCAAUUCACGACAAUUCCCCGCUAAUCGGAAGUAGACCAGAUGAAGUGCUGGAUAUCAUGGCGUUUUGGUCUACAACAUGUCGAACAACGUCGUUCGAGUUUUUGCUAAUAUAAUCGCUGUAACUAGUAUCAUCCUUAAAAUCUAGAGACGUUUGGCUCUAUAGCGAAAGUCCGCGUUUCUAAUCUAUUGAUAAGUGGAUGACACCACAAUCGAUAUCGGAAGUUACCACUGGACAGCAAUAACUUCAUUCACCACGUUGGCGCUCAGAUAACGCUGGUAUGGAUACUGUUUAUCAAAAUAGGCCAUGACCUUUGAUCUAUCUGAAAAAGGACAUCAGGGUGCCCUUUUCGAAUACUAGGAUACUAUGAGUUACCUCCAGAUCGAUAUAUAGUUCUAUCGGUGUCAUCCGAUCAACUACUAACUAACGGUCCUUCCACAAGCUGUCCUUUACCACCCUGUAGCUUUAAACCUACCUAGUAAACCUUCUCGAAUCUCAACUUAGUUGACCUGUACUAUCCCUCCUCAAAACAUCUGCUCUUCAUUGUUUCAAACAAUACCGAAUAGCUUUAUUAAAUAUGUUUAGAUUUCUGGCAGCUUGCUAGCUUUCGCUUACUGUGACUGAACAUGCAUAAAAGUACCUAUUUCGUGUAUAGAGUAGAUAUUUCGAUUUGAGUGUGUGUGUAUAUAUAUAUGCUCAAAGAUAAGUUGUUUUAGUAAGUUUUUUCCUCUUUUAUGAAACCUUACAAAGCAGCAAAGUUGAACAAACAACCUUGAACUGUUCUCGAUCUUGUCAGAAAUAGAGCACAACAGACCAAAAGGCCGGCAGAUGUUAUUGUAGCUAAUAGCAACAACAAAACGGAAUGAAUUACGCGGACUCGUAAAAUGUGCUAGCUAGAGAGAAAUUGAAAGCGCCCUAUUUUACCGCACCAUAAAAUUAGCCCUACGGUGAGGAUAGCAAGUAGAUCAAUGCGGCUAACGGCAAAACCUUAGAACGUUGCAAAGUCCAGCGUAGAUGAGCUCGGUGAUGGUGCUCGAUAACAAUGUAGGGCGUACUCGACACCGUGGUAAGCUUGGAAAAAUACACUGAAAAAUGUGUCACUGUCGACGGUAAUUGUAGCAAUUCUGAUGGACUAUCAUACGCGAAAUUUGGUUUCUCAUUAUUAUUUUGAUGACGGUCACAAUAUCACUAAGGGCAAAGGAUUGAAUUUAUCACCGCAAAAAACAAAACUGUCAGGCAAACACAAAGCCUUUUCCAGCAGGACAUGCGUUUCACCACGUUGUAGUAUACAUUUUACCUUGUAACUUUUUAUCCAGGUUUAUGGCUGAAACUUUAGGUGCAACGGGAUGGAUCGUCAGGUAGUUGUAAUAACUUAAACAAUAUCGAGGUUGUGAAUUAAUUACAGAGUACUUGUGUGUAUCUGUGGAAUUAUAUAUUUACGAAAUUAGACGUUAUGUUACACCAGCACAUACUGAUAGAAAUAUUAUGUGAACAAGAAGUUAUUUCAAGUUGAAUUUCAUAUAUUCUUGUACUUUAUUAUAGCUCACAAGACAAAGAAAAGUUUGCGACCUCCGCUAUUGAAGGGCAAACUCCAAUUUGUUUUACAUGUAAAAAUUUCCACCUCAGAUAUUCACUCGUAUUGGCUAUCGCAAGUAUUUACGAGAACGUCCGGAAGGUCGGACCAUUAAGGAGCCGUUCUACCAGCCUUAGUGUGAUAAAUGUAAAGAUUAAACUCUUAGGUUGUUGAUCGAACUGCUGGCUCUUACUUCGAAUUGGCGCAUUUUUUUGUAAGUAAAAUAACUAAAUAGAUGCUACUAAUGUACAUGUUGCCGUGUGCAAAUGGACCGCAAGCCACAUGUUAUCGUCUAACAUUAUCUAAGGACUCGAUAAAGAUAACGGCGGCUGAAAGGGAUAAACAUCGAAACGACUCAGGAUAAAA